GACGAACGCUGGCGGCGUGCUUAACACAUGCAAGUCGAACGGAAAGGCCCUGCUUUUGUGGGGUGCUCGAGUGGCGAACGGGUGAGUAACACGUGAGUAGCCUGCCCUUGACUUUGGGAUAACUUCAGGAAACUGGGGCUAAUGCCGGAUAGGAGCUCCUGCUGCAUGGUGGGGGUUGGAAAGUUUCGGCGGUUGGGGAUGGACUCGCGGCUUAUCAGCUUGUUGGUGGGGUAGUGGCUUACCAAGGCUUUGACGGGUAGCCGGCCUGAGAGGGUGACCGGCCACAUUGGGACUGAGAUACGGCCCAGACUCCUACGGGAGGCAGCAGUGGGGAAUAUUGCACAAUGGGCGGAAGCCUGAUGCAGCAACGCCGCGUGCGGGAUGACGGCCUUCGGGUUGUAAACCGCUUUCGCCUGUGACGAAGCGUGAGUGACGGUAAUGGGUAAAGAAGCACCGGCUAACUACGUG
rnacentral:rRNA from 1 species